UCACGCUAUGUAAGAAAGAUGCUCAAACAGACGAAGUCUCGCCACUGCAAUGACAUGUAUGUAGAAUUUAACCACUUCGGUUGAGAUUCAAACAAAACUGCCAGACACAACAUCCUGAUUAUUGUAUUUAAGAGAAACAUUUGUAAGUGUGGCUGAAUUACUGAAGCACUGAUAGAAAAUGUGAAAGUUGUGGAAGUAGGUCGUGGUAAAUGUUGGGCUUUCCGUGAAACUGGGUCAGACUUCCCGGAUUUGUUCCAGCUUAGUGGGAACCACCAGAACAAGAUGGGAAGGUUUGCAGAUAACACUAGAUUCCAGUCAAACAUACCCAAAGCUGCUGAUAUUAUUGUUGCAAUAGUUUAUUCUAUAUUUGGAGUUUUCUCUUUGUUUGGAAACAGUAUGCUCCUGUAUGUCGCAUACAAAGUAAAAGACUUUGCUGAAGCCGGCAGAGUUUUUCUUCAUCAACCUUGCCAUCAGUGACCUUGGCAUGACUGUGACUUUAUAUCCUCUAGCUAUAGCUUCCAGCAUAUCACACAGGUAGGUUCGGUGGCCUGGAUUUUCCACUUCCCUUUAUGAAGUUGUGUUCAUUUCAGUUAUUUACGCCUGUUUAAGGGGAAUGCAAUAUGACAAGUAAUGUAUUUUCAGUACAGUAAUGCAUUUUGAGUAAAAGAAAAAUAUGAAACCGUUGUAAUUACAGAUAGUGGUGUAAUAGGGCAGCAGUGUGGAGUAGUGGUAAGGGCUCUGGACUCUCCCAGGUGGGGACACUGCUGCUGUACCCUUGAGCAAGGUACUUUACCUAGAUUGCUCCAGUAAAAACACAACUGUAUAAAUGGGUAAUUGUAUGUAAAAAUAAUGUGAUAUCUUGUAAUAAUUGUAAGUUG